AAUUCUGACUUUUUCUCAGAAUUGCAUGAUAAAAACUUGCAAAUGUGAGUUACAAAGUCAAAGCUCAAUUGUGAGGGAAAAAACACUAUU